AGAGUUUGAUCCUGGCUCAGAAUCAACGCUGGCGGCGUGCCUAACACAUGCAAGUCGCACGAGAAAGGGUCUUCGGAUCUGAGUAAAGUGGCGCACGGGUGAGUAACACGUGACUAAUCUACCCUCGAGUGGGGAAUAACCUAGGGAAACCUGGGCUAAUACCGCAUAACACUUACGAGUCAAAGCAGCAAUGCGCUUGGGGAGGAGGUCGCGGCAGAUUAGCUAGUUGGUGGGGUAAUGGCCCACCAAGGCGAUGAUCUGUAUCCGGCCUGAGAGGGCGCACGGACACACUGGAACUGAAACACGGUCCAGACUCCUACGGGAGGCAGCAGUGGGGAAUUUUGCGCAAUGGGGGAAACCCUGACGCAGCAACGCCGCGUGGAGGAUGAAGUCUCUUGGGACGUAAACUCCUUUCGACAGGGACGAUAAUGACGGUACCUGUAGAAGAAGCCCCGGCUAACUUCGUGCCAGCAGCCGCGGUAAUACGAGGGGGGCAAGCGUUGUUCGGAAUUAUUGGGCGUAAAGGGCGCGUAGGCGGUUUGGCAAGUUUCGUGUGAAAUCUUCGGGCUCAACUCGAAGUCUGCACGGAAAACUGCCGGGCUUGAGUAUGGGAGAGGUGAGUGGAAUUUCCGGUGUAGCGGUGAAAUGCGUAGAUAUCGGAAGGAACACCUGUGGCGAAAGCGGCUCACUGGACCAUAACUGACGCUGAGGCGCGAAAGCUAGGGGAGCAAACAGGAUUAGAUACCCUGGGUAGUCCUAGCCCUAAACGAUGAUUGUUUGAUGUGGCAGGUACUCAAUCCUGCCGUGUCGAAGCUAACGCGAUAAACAAUCCGUCUGGGGA
rnacentral:rRNA from 1 species